AUGUCGACCCCCUUCUGGCGGAGGCCAAACAAAGAUAAUUCUCCUGUUGAGCUCUCAGUUGUUCCCAGUGUUGGUGAAUCCAGUUUGAAUUCUCAGGAACCGGUGUAUUCUGGGACAGGAUUUGACCCAAAGAUCAGAUGGAAAGAUGACGAUAAAAUCCUAUUAGAAUGCCAAGUGAAUGAUUAUUACCCUGACAAACUCGAUGUACAGUGGCUUAAGGAUAACUCCAAGGUUAACACUUUAGCAAAAGAUAAAAAAUUUCAGAAUGCUGAUAAGAAGAAGAAAAGCUUUACUUUAAUAAGUCAGUUAACUAUCAGUGCUCAGGAUCAGGGCAAAAUGUACACUUGUAAAGCCACGCACAACUCUGAGGAAAUCACACAAAACUAUGAUGUGUGCAAUGAUUUACCCAAACCUUUGGUGACUGUAAAGAAAACCCAUCUCAGAGACAUUAUAAAGGAGAGUACAGUCACUGCUUCUUGUGUUGUUGAAGCACCAUACAACACUCAAGUGUCAUGGCUUAAAAAUGAAAGAAGUGUCCCCAAUACAAAACCACCAGUCAAAUCACCUUUGUCCAGCAGAUCACAGAAAAUUGUGAGCAACCACACUUUCACCAAAGAAGAUUGGUUGGGAGAUAAUAUUGUUUGUAAAGCUUCACAUCCAUGUUUCAAAGUAGAGGAACCUGUGAUUAAACCUGUUAAUAUACAGAAAGAUCCUGUCGUGGUGAUCAGGAGGUCUUUCACAGGAGGCAGUGCUGUACUGGAGUGUGUUGUACGAGAUCUUCCCUCUGGUGAAGUCUGCAUCACCUUCCAGUCAGGUGGUGUUGAUAUCUCACAAGUCAGUUGUGCAGAUGUGGCUUCUUCUGAAAACAACCGGUUCCUGACCACAGACUUUACAAUACCCAGUGACCACCAAAGGAAGGGCAAAACAUUUACAUGUAAAGUUCACAGUCCUUCCAAACAAUGGACAUCAAAACCUUCCGGAAACAUUUUUGAUAAUCCUACUAUUGAGCUCUCAGUUGUUCCCAGUGUUGGUGAAUCGAGUUUGAAUUCUCAGAAACUGGUUUGUUCUGGGACAGGAUUUGACCCAAAGAUCAUAUGGCUUUCAAAAUCUAAAGUGAAAUCUGACACAGCUGUAGAUGUCACAAUAGGUGAAGAUGGACGUUUGAAAGUGUACAGUGAGAUGUUGGUGCCACAACAAGACUGGAAUCAAGGGGUGAUAUUUACAUGUGAAAUUACUGAUAAGCACAAUGCUAUUAACAAAAGCAUCAAUAUUUGUUCAGUGGCUGACCAGAGCAGUCAGAUGGCAGAUGUCUAUUUACUAGGUCCCUCCCUCAGUGAUGUGAGAUCAAUGACAAACAUUUCUUUGACCUGCUUGGUUAUUGGUCAUCGUAUCAAGGAUUUCACAAUCCAGUGGAAAGUCGAUGGACAUAGUUCCGAAAUGCAAGGUUUUAUACAACAGCAUCAAGAUCAUGCAAAUGGGACUCAAAGCAUGCAGAGUAUUUUGAAGGUUCCGGUUAGCAGAUGGCAUGCUUAUAGUGUGUUCACCUGUGAAGCUAAACCUGUUUGCUCUGAAGUCACACAGGGAAAGAACAUCUCAAAAAACAGAAACCCUAAAGAACCUACUGUGAGGAUCCUCAAACCCUCUGACAGUGAUCUAUUUGUGUCUCAGGAUGCCAGUCUUCUUUGCUCGAUCACUGGUUUCUUCCCAUCUGAAAUCUCUGUGCAAUGGCAACUGAAUGGCACGCAGUUGGAUGAGUCUCGCUUUACUAACAGUCCUGUGGUUGCUCAUACUGCAGCUGAGGAUUAUUCAAUAUACAGUGCCUUAAUACUGUCUGCUUCACAGUGGACGAAGGACGUGUACUCAUGUGUAGUUUCUCAUGAGUCAUCUAAAAAUCCAAUCACUGCUACUUUGGAGGACUUGUAUGCUUCGUUGACCCACUCUGCUCCAUCUGCAAAGCUGCUGCAGGGUUCAAAUGAGCUGGUGUGUCUGGCAUAUGGUUUCAGUCCAUCUGAAAUCAGCAUCACCUGGCUGCUGGGCUUGAAUGAGGUGUCUAAUCAAAGUGUCCUGAUUACCGAUCCUGCAAAAGGUCCUGAUGGAAAAUUUACCAUCCAAAGCUACCUGCAUUUAUUACCUGCUGAAUGGGCACCUGGAGAGGUGUACAGAUGCAGGGUCACUCAUAUUACUGGUACCCAAUUGAUUAACAUCUCCAAACCAGAAAUAUUGGAAGAGGGUAUUUAUAUGAAUGAAAACAAGGAUGAAUCUAUUACACAGGAAUCUUUAGAGGAAGCCUGGAAAAUGGCCUGUGCCUUUCUCGUUCUUUUUCUCUUUUCCCUCUUCUAUGGAUGCGCAGUGACACUGGUCAGAGUGAAGACUGCAUGAGCA